GUUGUUGUAGUGAUCACAUCCCAGUCCACUGAAUGGUCGUCAUCGCGGAACGAUUCUGCAGCUCAUUAUUUGAUAAUAAAAUAUAUUUAAAACUAUUGAAUUAGUCGUCGGAUGAACGACGAGUUGUAGAGGAUCGUGAAAUUGAGUAAUGGCGGGAUUGGUCAGCGUGUGUGUGCGGGGAAAAAAUUAUAUGCAUACUCUUUGAAUAGAUUAUCAAAUCACACUUAGGAGCUAUUCGGAGACAAAACUUAAGU
rnacentral:lncRNA from 1 species